rnacentral:pre_miRNA from 1 species
UGCCCUAUACCUCAGUCGCUGACAUAAAUUAAAUUGCAGAGAUUGAUGUAUGUGGCUUG